UCCUACGGGGGGCAGCAGUGGGGAAUAUUGCACAAUGGGGGAAACCCUGAUGCAGCGACGCCGCGUGAGUGAAGAAGUAUUUCGGUAUGUAAAGCUCUAUCAGCAGGGAAGAAAAAAGACGGUACCUGACUAAGAAGCCCCGGCUAACUACGUGCCAGCAGCCGCGGUAAUACGGAGGAUGCGAGCGUUAUCCGGAUUUAUUGGGUUUAAAGGGUGCGUAGGCGGGAUGCCAAGUCAGCGGUAAAAUCGCGGGGCUUAACCUCGCUCCGCCGUUGAAACUGGCGUUCUUGAGUGGGCGAGAAGUU
rnacentral:rRNA from 1 species